GGCAGGAUGGCCGAGUGGUUAAGGCGAUAGCCUCGAAAGCUAUUGGGUUCGCCCGCGUGAGUUCGAGUCUCACUCCUGUCG
rnacentral:tRNA from 1 species